rnacentral:rRNA from 1 species
UACGAAGGGGGCUAGCGUUGCUCGGAAUCACUGGGCGUAAAGCGCACGUAGGCGGAUUGUCUAAGUCAGGGGUGAAAUCCUGGAGCUCAACUCCAGAACUGCCUUUGAUACUGGAGAUCUUGAGUCCGGGAGAGGUGAGUGGAACUGCGAGUGUAGAGGUGAAAUUCGUAGAUAUUCGCAAGAACACCAGUGGCGAAGGCGCU